GAAUUUUGGAUAAAAUAGCCUUUAGCGUCACUAAAGAAAUUUGAUUAUCUAAGAUGUCAAAUCGGUCAAUACAAAACACGUGAAAUUUCCACGCAAAGGUUUUUCUGGCAAAUAGGAAGGAGAAUAAGUGAGAUUUGAGCCUAAUAAUUUCAAGUGGAGCUUCGUCUGGACUUGACCAAAGAAAGGAAGUACCCAGUACCCAUCAUACUUCAAAAGAGUGCUUCGUCAAUUUUGUGCUGGAGCACAAAGGUUCUCGAAGGAUUUAAAGACAAUUAUUGAUUCCCUUUGGUCAAACCUCUAGAAUAAUUGAAUGCAAUGGGGGCACCCGAGAGGAACACCGCACACUGGGAAGAGAAUGUAAAGAACCGGGAAUUUCUACACAAACCCAAGAAACGGGUGCUUAUGGCCAACACUGAAGAAAGUGGAGGUGGUGCACAAAAAACGGAACA